UAAGGAAUAUUGCUCAAUGGGAGAAAUCCUGAAGCAGCAACGCCGCGUGGAGGAUGAAGGGUCUAUGACUUGUAAACUCCUGUAAAGAAGGAAAAAAUUCCCAUUAGAUGGGAGAUGAUGGUACUUCUGGAGUAAGCCCCGGCUAACUACGUGCCAGCAGCCGCGGUAAUACGUAGGGGGCAAGCGUUGUCCGGAUUUACUGGGUGUACAGGGCGCGCAGGCGGGAUAAAAAGUCAGUGGUGAAAUCCUACAGCUUAACUGUAGAACUGCCUUUGAUACUUUUAUUCUUGAGUUCGGGAGUGUGAGACGGAAUUCCAGGUGUAGUGGUGAAAUACGUAGAUAUCUGGAAGAACACCAGUUGCGAAGGC
rnacentral:rRNA from 1 species